CCUACGGGUGGCAGCAGUGAGGAAUAUUGGUCAAUGGACGAGAGUCUGAACCAGCCAAGUAGCGUGAAGGAUGACUGCCCUAUGGGUUGUAAACUUCUUUUAUAUGGGAAUAAAAUGUUCCACGUGUGGGAUUUUGUAUGUACCAUAUGAAUAAGGAUCGGCUAACUCCGUGCCAGCAGCCGCGGUAAUACGGAGGAUCCGAGCGUUAUCCGGAUUUAUUGGGUUUAAAGGGAGGGGAGGUGGAUUGUUAAGUCAGUUGUGAAAGUUUGCGGCUCAACCGUAAAAUUGCAGUUGAAACUGGCAGUCUUGAGUACAGUAGAGGUGGGCGGAAUUCGUGGUGUAGCGGUGAAAUGCUUAGAUAUCACGAAGAACUCCGAUUGCGAAGGCAGUUCACUGGACUGCAACUGACACUGAGGCUCGAAAGUGUGGGUAUCAAACAGGAUUAGAUACCCCUGUAGUC
rnacentral:rRNA from 1 species